rnacentral:rRNA from 1 species
AUUGAACGCUGGCGGCAUGCCUUACACAUGCAAGCCGAACGGUAACGCGGGGCAACCUGGCGACGAGUGGCGAACGGGUGAGUAAUGCAUCGGAACGUGCCCAGUAGUGGGGGAUAGCCCGGCGAAAGCCGGAUUAAUACCGCAUACGACCUACGGGUGAAAGGGGGGGAUCGCAAGACCUCUCGCUAUUGGAGCGGCCGAUGUCAGAUUAGGUAGUUGGUGGGGUAAAGGCCUACCAAGCCGACGAUCUGUAGCUGGUCUGAGAGGACGACCAGCCACACUGGGACUGAGACACGGCCCAGACUCCUACGGGAGGCAGCAGUGGGGAAUUUUGGACAAGGGGCGCAAGCCUGAUCCAGCCAUGCCGCGUGCGGGAAGAGGGCCUUCGGGUUGUAAACCGCUUUUGUCAGGGAAGAAAUCUUCUGGGUUAAUACCUCGGGAGGAUGACGGUAACUGAAGAAUAAGCACCGGCUAACUACGUGCCAGCCGCCGCAGUAACAC